CAUGGAGGGUGAGAAUCCCGUCUGGCCGACCUUGUGAUGCUUUACGAUACGUUUUCUAAGAGUCGAGUUGUUUGGGAUCGCAGCUCAAAAUGGGAGGUAAAUUUCUCCUAAGGCUAAAUAACGGCGAGAGACCGAUAGCGAACAAGUACCGUGAGGGAAAGAUGAAAAGAACUUUGAAAAGAGAGUUAAAUAGUACGUGAAAUUGUUGAAAGGGAAACGAUUGAAGUCAGUCGUACUGGCGAAAAAUCAACUACUCGAGUGAGUACUUGUGGGCGUACGUGAGCUUCACGGCCGCGUUGUUUGCAAUGUUCGUGCUCUUGUGGUGUACUUUUUCGUAUGGUAGGUCAAUGUCGGUUUUGGACGCCAUAAAAUGAUCGGAGGAAUGUAGCUUCGACCUCGGUUGAAGUGUUAUAGCCUUUGGUAGAUGUGGUGUUUGGGACCGAGGAUUGCAACGAAUACCCUUUGGGCUAUCCGUCUGACCUCUGUUGGUUAGCUGGGUGCCGAAAGCUUGCUUACGGUCAUCUAAGUUGACUGUCAAUAGGUUAGAACGUGAUUACAUUCGUUAAGGAUGUUGACGUAAUGG
rnacentral:rRNA from 1 species